GCUUGAUGAGUUCCGUAACUUGCAGGAACAGUUGAGCAAAGAGAAGGAAACCAUUGCAAAAGAUGCUGAUGAAAAAGACAGCCAUAUUCAAAACUUGAUAAAAGAGCGUGAUGAGCAGAUUCAGCAACUUAGUAGGCAGCUGAUACACUUUCAAGAAGAGCAGGAGAGGCUGUCAGUGGUUGCUGCAGAUCUUAAGAAGGAGGUUCUUGCGAAAGAGAAGACGCAUGAAGAUCUUCAGAAAGCCAUCACUGACAAGGAGCAGGAACUUAAUAAAAGCUAAAGAAGAUUUAGAAACCUUGUCAACAUUUCUUCAGACUGCAGCUGCUAAGGAAUCAAUAGCUAGGAGCAAACUGGAAUCAUUUGUCACAGAACUGAUUGAUCGAGCAGAUAAGGCUGAACAGGAACUGCAGAUGCUUAGAAGGAUUGGCAGCAGCAGCAGCAGCAGUGCAAAUCUCACAUUUAAUCCUUCACAGGCUAGUGGAGCAUUUCCAAAUGCUAGCGCUGUUCCUGUACAGGGAAGUGCUGUUUUCAGUGCUUCUUUGCCCCCUCAACCUUAUGCACUGAACAGUACGCCGUUAUCUCAUUUGAACCACACUCAACCCUUGCAUCCAUAUGGAGAUCAAAUACUCCAGACUAGCCUAGAACCUUGGUACAAAAACCUGGGUCUGGUAAAGGAUUCUGGUAAUAGUCCAAAAACUGUGCCAGCAGAAGUGGCAGCCGUGGAGUGCUCCAUUGGUAGUACUUGUAAUGAACUGUCGUCUUUGCAUCAGUCAGUUCAUCCACGACAAUCACAGCUCUUGCCUUCACAAUCACAAAUCUCUGCUUCUGGUUGUUUUCAACCAGAUGAUGCAGCCAGACAACAGCUUAGGAUGCAUCGUAAGAGCAGUGCAUUUAACAGUCUUUACCCAGAGCAAGCUCCAAGGCAGAUAUCUGAUUCAUCUGAAGAAUUUGCUCCUUUACCAGCUAGAAGGCCCGUUCCAAAACAGAGACGGCAGCCCCAGUGUUAUAUAGAGGAGCAGACUGGAAAGUCUUAUCGUCAGGUUCCUUCUGAGUCAAAAUCCAGGCUUCGUGACAUACCACCAUGUUCUCCAGAUGUAUAUGAGGUGACCAGAAGCCCAUUACAUUUUGGUAAUAUCAGUGCUAAUGCUAGGAGGCAGAGCAGAUAUGGAGCAGACCAUGUUUCAGAUGAAGAGCAAGAAUCUUACCACAGUGACAGCUCAGCAUUCCAUCCACCACACCCUCAGUAUGACAACCACUCCCAUUUGUCAACGAGUCAUAAUGCAGAGAAGAAAAUGGUUAGAGGAAAAAACAAAAUGAGUCGGCACUUGGACUUUGCAGAAGGACAUCAGCCAUCUUGUCUCCCAGACAAGCAUCAUAAAAAUUCCGCCCAUAAAAGUUCUUCUCAAAAACAUUCUCUUAGCAGAGAUGCCACCUGCAGCCUAUCACAGAAUCCAGAGAUGAUAGAAGAUAUUGGGAUGUACAAAACUUAUACAGUGCUGUCUAUGAGUGGAAAAGCAGUAGAGGAUCCAGCCAUUUUCUCACAGUUGAAUAAGUAUUCUACAGACUUGGAGCAGUCAACAUCAAUCCCUUCAAAGCAAAAAUCCUCCCGUUACUCUGAAAAACAGCAACAAUGGAAAGGAAAACACAGCUUAUCAAUACCCCAUGGCAAACUGCAUCUAAAACAGAUGCAAGGUGGUGCAGAGAUCAGCUCCCUUGAUGGUCUUGAAUUGUCUCUUGAUGAUGAUGGCAUCAUGUGGGAAGCUGCCAACGUAAAUUCCGAUGCCUUUGACUCAAACAGAGUGAGUCCUUAUGGCAGUGAGACUACUGGUGAUGUGGACUCAUCAGUGCUUUGUUCUACAAGAUCUCACACUAACAAUAAGUCUACUAAAGGGAUGAUACUGAUGAGGAUGUGGUUGACUUGCAAGAAGAAGACUCCUACAGAUGUUAGCUUUACCUGAAGAAGAGCUACAAGAAAAGGCAGCAGAAGUAGUUCCUCUGGGUGAACGAAUUUCUAGAAUUUUGAAAAGUGUUGCAAAGGAGGAAAACAAUGAAACAGAUUCAGCCAUCAACAACUGUCAUGACAAAAGUAACCCACCCAUAAGUCAACAGAAACGAGAGUCACCUUUGGAUAGAGCAAUGGCAGUCAGAGAAAGAGUGAAGAGCAUGACACUUCCCAGAGCUGGAGAGAGAUCUCCAUCUGAAGGCCCACCUUCUCAACUGGUACAAAAAACAGAUGCAAACUAUCAGAGAGAGCAUUUGUCAAAACAAAGGACAGAGCCCCAUGGUGUUGCCCAAGCAAAUAUCAUUCACAAGACUCAGCCAUUGACACACUGGAUGAUAUGUCUUCAAGUAGCUAUGCAGCUGUAAAUAUAAAGCCUGCAUAUGGUCAGAGAGUUGGGGAGAAAGGAAUAGCUGGCUCUGGCAAAGGCGUGGACAAGAUGCUAAACAGAUUUGAGCUGGCAGAGCCAGGGGAAGAUCAAGGGAAGGCAGGUGAGCGUUUGUUUAAGCCCCCUUCUUCUCCAGGAAGAGAAAUGCUACCAAAGAUGGAUGGAGCACAUGUUUUGCCUGAUCAUCAGCACCAGGCUUUGCAUGAGAGAUGUAGUCCUCCAGAAACAGGUUCACCCAGCACCCCUGCCACAGUUGGUACACCUACUACAUGUAAAAAUCAACAUCUAGAGACGCAAUCAACUGAAGUGUCUGAGAAAGGUAUCUUAGUGCAUGACAAUCUGGACAGUGAUGCAUCAAAAAUCAAGAAGCAGUUUUCCACAUCUGGUUCUCCCUUUAUGAGACAAGCAUCAAUCAUGCUUGAAGAGCAGAACUUGCAACAGUUUGAAACGGCUGCGCUGAAACCAGCUAAAGAGCUCCGAGCGAGGUUUAUGAGUUCACAUUCAUCAUCUGAAGAUUCUAGUCUCCACUCACUCUCACUUCCUGCCAAACCAGUGACAUUAACAAAUCAAGAAGAUGAAAGCACAGAUAUGGACAUGGAUUAUGAUUUGGAGUCUGACUUGCAGAACUUGUCAGUACCUGGGGUGGGGAGGGGACAUGGGGUCCCAUCAGGAAGACCAACAGUAAAGAAAGCCAGAGCCUUACAGAGGAAGCCUAGAAUUAGUAGAACUGCAGGUGCCAGAUAUGGAAAGCCAGCUAUUUUGCCAGAGAUAACAGAUGAGAGCAGCUCUGCAGCUUCUGAUGCUGACCUGGGUGUGAACAGACAGCAAGAAGAGAAACGACGUAGACGUAUUGCUCUGUUUUGUGUGUUUUCUUACCUGGAUGUACUCACGCUAGGCAUCGUAGCACUUGUCUGUAAAGAAUGGAGACGAAUUAGCAGACACCCAGCACUCUGGAGGCGUGUACAAAUCAAGUACCAAUGUGUUUCUUCAAAGUUUUUGAUCACAAUUUCAAAGUGGUGCACACAGCUUACUUCACUGACACUUGAAGGAUGCUGAGUUGCAUGGUGAGACCUUACAGCUACAUAAAUCACAAAAUGUCUACCGAGCUGGUCAGAGGCAAGCAGGGGAAACAUUAGAUGAAUACAACCGCAGGACAAAGGCUUGUCUAGAGCCUGGUCUGGAGGAGCUGUUGAAGGUGUCUCAGGACUCC